rnacentral:rRNA from 1 species
UACGGAGGGUGCGAGCGUUGUCCGGAAUCACUGGGCGUAAAGGGCGCGUAGGUGGCCUGUGGAAGUCUGCGGUGAAAGCCCGGCGCUCAACGCCGGGUCGGCCGUGGAUACUCUCGGGCUUGAGCUUACUAGAGGCAGAUGGAAUUCCGGGUGUAGCGGUGGAAUGCGCAGAUAUCAGGAGGAACACCGGUGGCGAAGGCGGGUCUCUGGGCCGAUACUGACGCUGAGGAGCGAAAGCAUGGGUAGCGAACAGG